rnacentral:lncRNA from 1 species
AUGAACGCCACCGUUGCAUCACCGUCGGAGCCCGCCGCCGCCGUCACCGUCGCAUCGCUAGACGAGCUCCGCGAGGUGGCCGAGGAUGAUCCCCGCGCGUGGCGGUCACCGGCGUCCCCCCAGGCGGAGGAGCUGCACGCGCUCGUCCGCGACCACGUCGAGGCGAAGCUCUGGAGCGUCGGCGUCGGCGACGAGGCCGACGCCGCCAUGGCGGCGCUCAGGUCCGCGGCCGACGGCGCCGCCCGCCUCGUGGGGCUGAGCCGCGCGCUGGACGCCGUCGCGGCCGGACACGGAGGACGGAGCCCCGGCGCCGGCCACGGUGCCCCGCGUCACGCUGCUGAGGGAGCAAUUGUUGCCAUUGACCUCCUCCCAUCGGCGUCAAUCCACUAUCGCGCGAAGCCACGUCAUCAGCCUCCCUCACUCAUUCUCCUCUAUCGCCAACGUGAACAUGCAGUACUGCAAAGGAUCUUAAUUUAACGUCUUCCUU